UACGGAGGAUGCAAGCGUUAUCCGGAUUUAUUGGGUUUAAAGGGUACGCAGGCGGGAUGUUAAGUCGGCGGUGAAAUUUUGCAGCUCAACUGUAAAAGUGCCUUCGAUACUGGCUUUCUUGAGUGUGGAUGAAGUAGGCGGAAUUUGUGGUGUAGCGGUGAAAUGCUUAGAUAUCACGAGGAACUCCGAUUGCGCAGGCAGCUUACUAAACCACUACUGACGCUCAUGCACGAAGGCGUGGGGAUCAAACAGGAUUAGAUA
rnacentral:rRNA from 1 species